CUGUCCACCUCCCUGAGGGGCGGGGAAAGGUUCUCAUCGGCUCAUCGUCUGCUCCUGCCGCUGUUUUCUUCUCUCCUAUCGGAAAAUGUAAAACCCUAAUCGGGAAAUUUCUCCCAAUCUCGCCUUGAUUUCCGAUAAUGGACUCCUCGAAGCCUAACAGCGAAGAAGGCGGUCCGUUCUAUGACGCCAGCGACGACUUCCCUUUCUACGAUUGCGUCGAUUUCGACCAGCCGGAGCAGCGGUCUCCAGCUCCCUCUGCAACUCUGCGGAGGCGGAGGCCAUCUCGUGAUUCGAAGCACAAUGAGGGUGGUCACCUCACUAGGCUGAGCUCAGAUCUGGACCGACCCGGCUCGGCCCGAGCUGCCGCCACCCCGAGCGGCGAUGAGAAGAAUGAAUCUUCAAUGACGAAAACUGCUAAUAGCGAGCUAGUCCUUGAUACGCUGGAAUCUGCCAGCUCAGUCCGAGCCGGCACUCCGGAUGUGCAGACGAAUGGAGGCUCUGUGAUUACUGAGGCGGACGGUGAGCCGGUCGGUGAGUCGUUCGACUCGAUGAGGGCGCCUGGCGACGCUGAAGUUCUGUCGUCGAGUAUGCUUAUCUCUCUGGUUGAGCUUAUGAUUAAAGCCAUAGGGUUUCAAAUUAAUCUCAUAGUUAGCAUGGUAACUUUCCCUUUCUGCUGUUUAUACACAUUUGUUAUGUUCAUCAUGGAUCCCUUUUCGACUAUGAGGCGAGGCCGAAAUUAUAUAAUUGGAAAGCUGUUAAAUUUGUGGAACCUGAUAUGGGAGUGUGCGAGCCCCUUCCUGUAUCAAUGGCUGAAGGAGCACGACUCAGUGUGGAAGCUUAUGUUGAGAUUUGGGUGGGGACUAUUUUGGGCAAUAUAUGUAUGCUCCAUUUUGUUCGGCUUACUGGUCACUGCAACUCUGAUUAGUGGAUUUAUAAUGAGGUAUUUGGUCAAGGAGCCAUUACGGAUAGAGGACAAGUUGAAUUUUGAUUACACCAAACACCAUCCUGUUGCUUAUGUGCCAUUGGUUUCUUGUGCCGGCAUCGAUUGUGGGGCGGAGUAUAAGAAAUUGGCUCAAAUUAGUGGCAGUCAGCAACCGCGAUUCAUUCUGCCUAAUAACAAGCUUGAGGCCACCAUAACCUUGGCAUUGCCUGAGUCGGAGUAUAACAAAAAUCUUGGGAUCUUUCAGAUCAGAGUAGAUUUCCUGUCUUCCACUGGUGAAACACUUGCAAGUUCAAGCCGUCCGUGCAUGUUACUCUUCAAAAGCGAGCCUAUACGUCUUAUGUUGACGAUGCUCAAGAUUGCUCCUCUAAUUGCUGGAUACAUAUCAGAGUCGCAGACCAUUAAGGUAAAGUUCCAGGGCUUUGUUGAAGGCAACGUGCCUACCUCCUGCUUAAGGGUGCUGGUAGAGCAACGAGCAGAAUUCCAUCCCGGAGCAGGAAUCCCAGAAAUCUAUGACGCAAAGCUUAUCCUAGAGUCUGAACUUUCUUUACUGAAAAGGCUCCUUUGGUCUUGGAGGAAAACCGUCUUUGUUUGGACGGUGAUGUUGUUUUUUACAGUGCAGUUGUUGUUUGCUCUUAUUUGUUGCCGACCAGUUAUUCUUCCUAGAACAAAAUGGAGGAAUGGAUUGUCGGGGAACAAUGCUACUUGAAAUGAUUACCUAGUGCGAUGAUCGGGUGUAAAGAUGUUAGAGGUCCUGAGUUGUAAGCAAUAUCCACACACACAAAUGCGGCUGAAACAAUUCUUAUAUCGCGACGAGAGUUGGACUUAGCGGAAAUGCUGAUUAUGGAUUCCGAGAUAAACUUUCCUAUGGUGCUCUUGCUAGAAUUCUUGCACAUAAUAUGCUCUGUUGGGAGAGGAUGCUGAAGAACAUUCCGUCCCUGGAGCCUCAACAUGCUACAAAUGACAAAAGAAAAGGUAUGGCUUCUGGAUGGAGAAGCUUUCAUGCCUUUGCAAUACUCUUGUGUUUGUCAAGAAAGGAUUAACGAGACCUCGACUAUUUUUUUCAUAAAAAAGAAAAGUGACCUUGAUCGUGACCUCUGUUUUCUUGGGAAAUUAUCAUAUAUAUUUUUUGCAUUCAUCAAUGCCGUACAAUGACUGAUAGGGGAUUGCUUAGAACUCCACUACUUAUAUGAUGCUACUCUAUCUUGGUGUUUCUCCAUUUGUCGAUAUAUACAGUACAUUUAAUGCAUAUGAUACUUUGUAAGGGAGAAGAGUGGCUCUAACCUUUUCUUUCUGAAGUCACAAUGACAGGAAUCGAAUUUGUAAUAUUUUAAUUUUAGGCGA